AUUGAACGCUGGCGGCGUGCUUAACACAUGCAAGUCGAUCGGUAACGCGGGGGCAACCCUGGCGACGAGAGGCGGACGGGUGAGGAACGCUUGGGAAUCUGCCCUUCAGCGGGGGACAACACGGGGAAACUCGUGCUAAAACCGCAUACGCUCCACGGAGGAAAGCCGGGGACCGCAAGGCCUGGCACUGAAGGAUGAGCCCAAGUCGGAUUAGCUAGUUGGCGGGGUAACGGCCCACCAAGGCGACGAUCCGUAGCUGGUCUGAGAGGACGAUCAGCCACACUGGGACUGAGACACGGCCCAGACUCCUACGGGAGGCAGCAGUGGGGAAUAGUGGACAAUGGGGGAAACCCUGAUCCAGCGACGCCGCGUGGGUGAAGAAGGCCUGCGGGUUGUAAAGCCCUUUCGGUAGGGACGAAAGCUCUCGACCUAACACGUCGGGAGGUUGACUUAACCUACAAAAGAAGCACCGGCUAACUCUGUGCCAGCCGCCGCGGUAAGAC
rnacentral:rRNA from 1 species